UCUCUCCUUCCAGGUCAAAACUAGGUUAUGCAUGUUUUUCCCAUAUAGCCUCUCUGUCUCCUGGCCGCCACCGCCGCAUCACGUGAUUCCGUCCGCCGCCUCGACCUUCUACCUCCGCAAACGCCUCCUCCGAAAACCCUAGCUGCAGCUCAUCCUCUGGUGCGGAGAUCCGGCGGUCAUUGGGAUCGUCUUCGUGGCUCCUCCGACCUGCAGCGCGCCCCUCCGUGUGGUGUCCAUGUCUCCUGAGUCACCCCUGGCUGAUACUUGCAUCCAGGAGACUGAUCUAUCUGGAGCUGGAGCGUGGUUAAGUCUACAAGAGAAGGGCUGCUCACGCAGUUGGAGUAUUGGUGUGGGUGCAGAGGCAUAAAAAUGAUCGUGAUGUAAAACGAUUGCAAGAGAAGGGGCAAAACUAGCUGGCCGAUAGAUACUAGCCUGAUACUUUUUAUUGGGACUUUAUAUAUUUGUUUCUCUGCUGAUUCUCUGACUGGAUUAAAAGGAAUUUUGUUUUUCGCACAAACACAAGAGAGUUGUUUCCUCCAUGAAGAUGUACAGACGCACAGGCUUCAACGAAUUGCUUUCUGGCGAUACAAAGUACCCGUACUUAAGCACAUUGAUUGAUUAUUUGAGAAUGCCCGUAAGAAGGAUUGCUAUAGCCUAAGCAAGCUGCUGGAUCGGUCAAACUUAAGGACCUUGAUUGAAUCCUGGAGAACGCACGCGAGGAGCCUGUCUAUAGCCUAAGCUAGCUAUGGGAUCGAUCAGCCGGAACAACAGAACGCACAGCACCGGCGGUAAUUGUCCAAGUGUGGUCCGGACAUGGCCACUAAUCGUGGUUAAUUCCAACAAGUUAUUUGGCCCACUCCUGAUGUUUAACAAGUACCAUUGGUAGUGCUACCAAUUUUUGGAGGAACUCAAGCGAUUUAUUCCAAUAUUCAGUCUGACUUCAUACUCUCUUGAUGUCUUGGUAGUUCAGUUAAUUAUGUGCAGGGGUUUUUCCCCGGCUGAAAUUUCUAGAAACCGGAUUGAGGUCUCCUUCAGGUACUUCUAUAUUUUGGUGUCUUACUCUCGCUCUCUGCCGGUGCAAAAAUGGAAAAGGGUGGCUGAGAGAAUGAAUUCCACGACCUCAGCAGGACGUGCGUCGUGACCAAACCACUGGAACAAGCGCAAGUUCGUGUGCAUUCUAGGGAGCCUUUGUAUUUAUAUUGUUUGUGACUGCAUGAUUCCUAUUUCCCCCUUAUUCCAAUAUUUGUAUUCUGCGGAUGCCUAAGUCAGCCACAUGUUGGAGUAUGAUUAUUCGGCACAUAUGGGGUUACAUUAUACGGAUGAGAAAAAAGGCCAUUCCCGGGUGAGAGAUUGCGAGCAUAUUCAACAAUAUGUUGGAAUCAACCUAAUUUUCUCGGAUCAAUCCACCUGCAGUACAUGGCUGACCUCUUGCUUGCCCGUCAACACUUGGUCGAUUCUGCCCCAUGCUAGCCCGAGCAAUGCCAAAAUACGUACAUGUACACACCGGUCGGCCGCCAAUAAACGCGUGCAUGCAGAGGAGAAAUCGCUUUAUGGACAAAGGUCAUUCCCUGGUGAAAUAUUGCGAGGAUAUUCUACAAUAUGUAUUAUGAGCAGACUAAUCCAGUAGCGCAAUGUAGUGGAUAGGGAUUAUGACAAGGAAAAGGUGUGCAACAUUAUCAGCAGAUUUACAUGUUCAUUCAAACAUGUAAACAUAAAAUCGGGUCUUCCCCAUGCGGAAUUAUGAGGGGUUGUGAUGCAGUCUGUCAAUAUCACCAAGUGCAUGUUCUAGGAGAUAUUUCUCCUUUUUACUUCAUCCAAUAUGGGCCCACACUGAUAGGAGAACAAAGCAUGGAAUCACUAGCACGUUCCUCCUAUGGAUAUUUCAUGAAUAUGACAAGAUUCUUCAGGUUAUACUUUUGUUCAGAGGAGUUGAUGGUGUGUAAUCUUCUCUUAUAUAUUUAUAGUUGUUCUAUGAUGUCCCAUGUUAUCAGAUUUCUCUGAAGUAAAUGAGGUAUUUUUUUUGUCAAAAGGGGUAAAUGUGUUCAUGACGAAACGUUUCUAGCAUCUCUCCUAAUACGAGUGCGUUGGUAACUCUUUGUCCUACCUUAAAUAGAAGAGUAAAUAUCUUCUGCCUAGCCAUGAAGUAAUAAAGUACUUUUUUCUAUUGUCUAUAUCAUGUAACUAUAGUUGAAUUAUUUCGUUGGAUUCACAUUUAUUUCUCGGCAAGUAUUAUUAACAUCAUACCCCAAACCUAAAAUAUAUUGUAGCCAGCCGAUAGAAGCUAUUGGGAGGAGUUGCCUGUUGGUGUUACCUUGGGAGGCUUUGCCUGUUGGUGCGCCUUUUUAUAUCCAUUUUAGAUUGUUAUUUCUCAGAGUUAGAAAGCAUGGUGACAUGUACAUUUACUCCAAUGGUUUUGUUUCUCUUUCUAAUGAAAAAACGCACACACAUUUGGCUGCGAGGUUAAAAUCAAUUUUUUUCUCAAACAACUUUCAUUUUUUCAACUCAUUUAUAUAUAUAAUUAGGAAGAUAUAGUAAUCUCUGCCGAAUCUAUUUCUCUUCCUUGCAAUUAUUUAGUCCAGUUUUGUUUUCUACUUUGUAAAGGGGUAUUCAUCCCAUGACACCUCAUCGGUACUACGCAUUUGAUCUGUAUGACAAUUUGAAUAUUUGACAGUACUUCCACUUCAUAUCUAUGCGAGUAGAGAAAUAAUUAAGUUUCUUCUACUGGUGGAUUGGAUUCGGGCAGCGUUUUGAUUUCGCCCUAGGCCGAGAUGGCCUCGGCCGAAAUCCGGUUUUUUUUGGAGAAAAUCAAAACACAGGAUUCGGGAGGAUAUUAUACUAAAGGUUUGUAUCAGGUUGUUUUUCAUAGUAUAGGUUGUCGAUAAUUGAGACGGUUCUCGGGACUUGAUUCCUUUUCGUUAUAACUGCCAGAGGUGCAAGAGUGUACAUACAGCUCAGCGCUUCCACUUGAGUAAUAUACAGUUACCAUACACGAUGAAGCCAUGUAUAUUUCUCAACUUCCCAAAAUGGCAUAACUCAUGGGCUCAUGUUUAUUUACUUCGACAGAAUGGCAAGACUAUACACAUCAUGCCGCUCUUUGUGUAUAUUUAACAAAAUAGUGUGCUUUUUUUGCAAAAAAUAAAGUAGUGCGCUGUUUGUAAAUAUAUGAAUAUUAUAUGUUCCCACAAUUGUAUGGCUUCUGAAUUGUUAAUGACCGCAUCAUUAUGCCUAAUGAUUUUGUAUUUUCAAUGAGCUAAUGGCACAUGCCAAAUAAAUUAUUGAUAUUGUAUGGACAAUAUACUAUCAUCAUCUUGAAUAAAUUAAAAUAUUAGUUGUGUGUAUGGUUACAUCCACAAACUAUUGUGUUUAAAUAGUAGACUUUCAGGAGCUCAAUACAAAGCUUAUGUAUUCAUGAUUAGCUAUGAUUCUACACAUAACCAAUACUUUUCAAAAUUAUUAUACAAAGCUACUAUCUAAAUAACUAGCCCGUGCAAUCGCACGGGUUGACGACUAGUUAUGCUAAUAAUAUGCAAAACCCUAAGCUUGGGGAUGCUAGUUUUGCUAUGCCCACUACCUGUUGCAAUAAUCAUGAUCUUGAAAAUUUAUUUAAG